GCUGAGACAGUGUUAUCUGGAGAAGUUGGGGUGGUUAUUCUUUCUGUGCUGUUAGUACAUAUUGCUGGUUUCUUUGUGGGGUAUAUAUCAGCAGCUGUUUGCGGGUUUAGAGAAGCACAAAGACAAGCAAUAUCAAUUGAGGUUGGUAUGCAAAAUUCUUCUUUGGGUG